AGGUCAGCAACCUCCAUUUCUUCUUUGAGCGCUGGUCCCUAUGUGUAUUCCACAUGUGGGUGAUAGAUAAGCAGUAUUUAAACAGGAGCGGGUGGUGAGGAUACAGUUGUUAUAGAUUCUUGUCAUACUGCAGUCCCAACAGCUGCAUCUGCAGAGAAGGCUUGAACUAAAACAAAUGUUUCCUGAAUGUAGGGAUGGAGCUUCAGGUAGCUGGUCUACAGCCCGGAGCCCAAGCCCUGGAGCCCCCAUGGAAAAAAAUAGUGGGUGCUCAGCACCCACCAGCCACCCGGCCAUCAACUGUUCAGCAGCGGUGGGGAGGUGCUGGGGGAAGCGGGUGGCACGGGGGCAGGAAGAGGCGGAGCAAGGGCAGAGCAGGGUGGUCCUUGGGGGGAGGGAAUGGAGUGGGGGUGGAGCACCCAUCCAGACAGAAGAAAGUCGGAACCCGUGUUCACAAUAGGUACCUCUCAGAGAGGUGCUGCCAAAGUGGCUCGUGCUCUAGUGGAAUGGGCUCUCACCCCAGCCAGGGGAGGAAUACGCACUAAUUGGUAACACAGAAUGAUGCAGCUGGAGAUCUACUUAGAUAGUUGCCGAGCAGAUAAUACCUGUCCUCAUAACCACUCUGCUAUAGCUCCAAUUAAUCCUGGUGAUUUUCUAUCCAUUUUGUCCUUUGCAGGUAGAACACCAGAGCUCACUGACAUCCAGAGAGUGAAGUCUCCUGUCCUCACUAGAAACAGGAAGUUUUGGGAAGAAUACCGGUUUGAAGCAGAAGAAGCCUGGAGAAAUCUGUGGACAUAGAGGAUUCCGACUCGGGCCAUGCAACAGUAAGAAGGAACGGAAGAGGUACAAGUCCCACCAACACUUACACCCUUGGUUGAGAGCAUAACAAGAACAACUAAACAGGCACGGACCAAUGGACACGACUUGCUAGAAAUCUCAGGCGCAGGGUGCACGUGUGUAUCCACUUGUGGAAUACACAUGUAAGGACCAGCACUCGAAGAAGCGGGUAUUAUGCAAGUCCUGCUCCUUUGGUAAAUUACUGGAUUGAGCUGCUGCAAUACAGAAGCCUAGUGGUGCCAACUGGCAAAGGAUUCACUACUCUGUCAGCAAUUCCUAUCAGGGCUGACAAACUCACUACUGCGAACACAUUGCUUUCAUGGUAUUUAUCUAUAAAUUAUGAAUUGUAAGGUAUCAAAUGAAAGCUGGAGACACACUGGCCAUACCUGAUGAAAGCUGUACAUACAGAUGGUGUGUAAGCAGUUAUAUGUACCUACUAAAAUAUGUUUUAAACUAUUUAAAAAAGCAAAUUUGACAAACAGGUUUUCUGCCGGACAAACUAUAGCCAUUCACCUGUCCCUGUCUCUGAUGUAAAUUAAGCACUGUAAGCCAAACACACAGGAGCUACAUUUGCAUUCCAAGUCAGCAUGAGGCUGAGAAGUCCUCCUGAGGGUCAGCACACUGAAGAACAAAUGGAGGGUGUUUCCAACCUUUACUGGUCUAUAACUGGGGGACAAGACAGAUAUUUUGGUUGUCCAUCAGCAAGGGAGCAAAAAGAACAGCGCCUUUUGCAUUCAUGAAUGCUGGAUCCUAGCCAUGUAGAUUGGUGACAUUAGGCAGAAGCUUUAGGUGAGACACUGCUUUAGACGAGACGCUGCUUUAGACAAGGAUUUCAGCCUGUUAAAGGUAAAUGUAGGCUCUAAGGACCAUGUUAUACCUUUUGCUUUACAUGUAACCAUUUCUGUUUCCAUUAUCCUUUCUCAGUAUCUCUUAAAUCUUUAUCUUUGACAAUAAACUUACAAUUGUUUCACUAUAAAUA